rnacentral:tRNA from 1 species
GACUUCGUAGCUCAGUUGGUAGAGCAACUGACUCUUAAUCAGUGGGUCGAGAGUUCGAGCCUCUCCGGGGUCACUA